GGGGCAAAGAUGACUAAAACACUUUUCCUGCCCUCGAGGAGCUCACAGUCUAGUAUGUCUCAUCCCCUACUAGACUGAAGCUCCUUGAGGACAGGGAUGGUCAUACUCACCU
ensembl:miRNA MIR151A microRNA 151a